GGCUCCAUGGUGUACUUGUUAGCAUUUUGAACUCUGAAUUCAGGAAUCUGAGUUUGAAUCUCGGUGGGACCU
rnacentral:tRNA from 1 species